CAGCAGCCGCGGGAAUACGUAGGUCCCGAGCGUUGUCCGGAUUUAUUGGGCGUAAAGCGAGCGCAGGCGGUUAGAAAAGUCUGAAGUGAGAGGCAGUGGCUCAACCAUUGUAGGCUUCGGAAACUGUUUAACUUGAGUGCAGAAGGGGAGAGUGGAAUUCCAUGUGUAGCGGUGAAAUGCGUAGAUAUAUGGAGGAACACCGGUGGCGAAAGCGGCUCUCUGGUCUGUAACUGACGCUGAGGCUCGAAAGCGUGGGGAGCGAACAGGAUUAGAUACCCCAGUAGUCCCUGUCUCUUAUACA
rnacentral:rRNA from 1 species